rnacentral:rRNA from 1 species
GACGAACGCUGGCGGCGUGCUUAACACAUGCAAGUCGAGCGGAAAGGCCCUUCGGGGUACUCGAGCGGCGAACGGGUGAGUAACACGUGAGUAACCUGCCCCAGACUUUGGGAUAACCCUCGGAAACGGGGGCUAAUACCGGAUACGACACAGCUUCGCAUGGGGUCUGUGUGGAAAGUUUUUCGGUUUGGGAUGGGCUCGCGGCCUAUCAGCUUGUUGGUGGGGUGAUGGCCUACCAAGGCGACGACGGGUAGCCGGCCUGAGAGGGCGACCGGCCACACUGGGACUGAGACACGGCCCAGACUCCUACGGGAGGCAGCAGUGGGGAAUAUUGCACAAUGGGCGGAAGCCUGAUGCAGCGACGCCGCGUGAGGGAUGACGGCCUUCGGGUUGUAAACCCCUUUCAGCAGGGACGAAGCGUAAGUGACGGUACCUGCAGAAGAAGCGCGGGCCAACUACGUG